rnacentral:lncRNA from 1 species
AGUGCAGUGUAAAUAAAUGAAUGCCAUAGUUAUAGAAAAUAAGAACUAUAUAACCUAUCGAGGUUGCCCUUUUGUUCUUUUUCUUUUCUUGCAAUCUCAUUUAUCCACACAACCCUGAACAGCACUAUAACCCUCAUUUUAGCUCUUUCUUCCUCCCUUCUUUUCUUUUUCUUUUUCUUCUAGCAACUGAGCAAUCUAGAACUCAGAGAUGUAAAAUAAUGUUCCCAGCAUCACACAGUGCAGGUGAGAACCCAGCAAAAGAAGGCAGAGACACCUGCUUCUCCGACACCUGGUAUCAUGCCUCCUCAAUUAUCUUAGCACUCUGCACACAUGCGGUCCUAAGUUUGCCUGUGACAUUUAUGACUUGCAAUGGAAAGCUUGGCUCACAGUUUCACACUUCGCAGAGAAACAAUCACACAGAGCAGUCACCAGGAGAGAAGGGUUUAACACCAAGGGAAGAAAGGAAAGGAGGAACAAGAAGAGUCUUUCAAAUGAUAAUGAGGGCAAUUACCACAGACUGUUUUAUAUGGAGGGGUGAUGCAAGACAUAAUUUGAGCUUGCAAGGAAAUAAGUUAUUGCAAAAAUAAACAAACUGUACAAAGAAGGGUUUAAGAGAUAAACUCCAGGGACUUCCACUUCUGGCAGCUGAAGUAACAAGGAAGCAAUUCACCUUCCUGAAACAACCAACCAACAAACAAAAACAGAAAAAUAUAUGAAAUCACUAUUUUCAAACCACUAGAUAUCAGAAAACAAAAGUCAAUAAUCUCAAAGAUGGAAAGCAGAAAAAGUAAACCCUACAACUGCUCCAGGUCAUAGCUUGAAAGAGAUUCAAGGUCACGGGUCAAGAAAAGGGAACCCAGGCAGAGCCUCACAGAGUAACUACACUGAGUUGAAGAGACAGAGCUGAACAUCCUGUAAGACCAAAGUAAAUAGACUGUAAGACAGAGAAAGCUGCCCAGAGAGAGAAAUCUGCAGAUCUGCAGAGUCCACCUCAAGAAUUCAGCAGAGUCCACAUCAGCACAUGCUUGUGAGGAAACUUCUCGAAAGUAGGUUAUGCCUUAACCCUGGACAGCUGAUAUGGUGACUGAUGUGAACAAGGCAGGCAUCCAAAGGAGCAGCUGUUUUCUCCUAACCUGGUGCAACUCUGAUGGGCAGUAUUCACUGCAGAGCUCCCUGCCAGCUUGGCUGUAGCACACUGUUGGGACCAUUACAAAUGUUUACUUCCACUCUGCUCAAUCCUGCCUCCACCCCCUUCCUUUCACAAGUAUUGAUCCCUAAUAAACAUAUGCACAUCAAACGUUGUCA